rnacentral:rRNA from 1 species
UACGGGGGGGGCAAGCGUUGUUCGGAAUUACUGGGCGUAAAGGGCUCGUAGGCGGCCAACUAAGUCAGACGUGAAAUCCCUCGGCUUAACCGGGGAACUGCGUCUGAUACUGGAUGGCUUGAAUCCGGGAGAGGGAUGCGGAAUUCCAGGUGUAGCGGUGAAAUGCGUAGAUAUCUGGAGGAACACCGGUGGCGAAGGCGGCAUCCCGGACCGGCAUUGACGCUGAGGAGCGAAAGCCAGGGGAGCAAACGGG